rnacentral:lncRNA from 1 species
AUUUUCCCUCAUAUUAAUACAAGCAAAAUGCUUUAUUUUUCCAGCUCCUUUGACCAGGGAAGAAUAGUUGCAAAUUCACCUGCAUAAAAUUGUAGUGCAUGUGUGUGUGUGAUAGAAAGAGACAGAAGAUGGAGACAGUGAAGAGAUGGUGAUAAAGAGAAAUACACACUGAAUGUUAUCACUGAAUUUACUGGGAUUUCGCCGGAAAGGAUGUACCAGUCAUUAUAAGACAAUCAAAAUAGAACCGAGAAAAGCAGUGCAUAAUUAUCAUGGGAAGAAAAAAAGAAGACAUGUUUUUCAGAGAGCAAAUUUGUCCUCUUUGACCUUUUAUCACUC